rnacentral:rRNA from 1 species
GGCGGACGGGUGAGUAAUAUAUAGUUAACCUGCCCUCGAGAAAGGAAUAACAGUUGGAAACGACUGCUAAUGCCCUAUAUGCCUUUAAGACAUAAGUCUGCAAGGGAAAUGCUUUUGUGCUCGAGGAUGGGACUGUACGGUAUCAGAUAGUUGGUGGGGUAAUGGCCUACCAAGUCAAUGACGCCUAACUGGUUUGAGAGGAUGAUCAGUCACACUGGAACUGAGACACGGUCCAGACUCCUACGGGAGGCAGCAGUGGGGAAUAUUGCACAAUGGAGGAAACUCUGAUGCAGCAACGCCGCGUGGAGGAUGACACAUUUCGGUGCGUAAACUCCUUUUAUAUAGGAAGAUAAUGACGGUACUAUAUGAAUAAGCGCCGGCUAACUCCGUGCCAGCAGCCGCGGUAAUACGGAGGGCGCAAGCGUUACUCGGAAUCACUGGGCGUAAAGAGCGUGUAGGCGGAUAGAUAAGUCAGAAGUGAAAUCCUAUGGCUCAACCAUAGAACUGCUUUUGAAACUGUUUAUCUAGAGUGUGGGAGAGGUAGAUGGAAUUUCUGGUGUAGGGGUAAAAUCCGUAGAGAUCAGAAGGAAUACCGAUUGCGAAGGCGAUCUACUGGAACAUAACUGACGCUGAGACGCGAAAGCGUGGGGAGCAAACAGGAUUAGAUACCCUGGUAGUCCACGCCCUAAACGAUG